rnacentral:rRNA from 1 species
ACGGGUGAGUAACGCGUGGGAAUCUACCGAGCCCUGCGGGAUAGCUCCGGGAAACUGGAAUUAAUACCGCAUGCGCCCUACGGGGGAAAGAUUUAUCGGGGUUUGAUGAGCCCGCGUUGGAUUAGCUAGUUGGUGGGGUAAAGGCCUACCAAGGCGACGAUCCAUAGCUGGUCUGAGAGGAUGAUCAGCCACAUUGGGACUGAGACACGGCCCAAACUCCUACGGGAGGCAGCAGUGGGGAAUAUUGGACAAUGGGCGCAAGCCUGAUCCAGCCAUGCCGCGUGAGUGAUGAAGGCCUUAGGGUUGUAAAGCUCUUUCACCGGAGAAGAUAAUGACGGUAUCCGGAGAAGAAGCCCCGGCUAACUUCGUGCCAGCAGCCGCGGUAAUACGAAGGGGGCUAGCGUUGUUCGGAAUUACUGGGCGUAAAGCGCACGUAGGCGGACAUUUAAGUCAGGGGUGAAAUCCCGGGGCUCAACCUCGGAACUGCCUUUGAUACUGGGUGUCUUGAGUGUGGAAGAGGUAAGUGGAAUUCCGAGUGUAGAGGUGAAAUUCGUAGA